rnacentral:rRNA from 1 species
UGAGGAAUUUUGCGCAAUGGGCGAAAGCCUGACGCAGCAACGCCGCGUGGGGGAUGAAGGCCCUCGGGUUGUAAACCCCUUUUCUGGGGGAAGAUAAUGACGGUACCCCAGGAAUAAGUCACGGCAAACUACGUGCCAGCAGCCGCGGUAAUACGUAGGUGGCAAGCGUUGUCCGGAUUUACUGGGCGUAAAGCGCGCGUAGGUGGUUUCGCAAGUCCGUGGUGAAAUCUCUUGGCUUAACCAAGAGGGGUCUGCGGAUACUGCGGGACUUGAGUGGCGUAGACGAAAGUGGAAUUCCGGGUGUAGUGGUGAAAUGCGUAGAUAUCCGGAGGAACACCAGUGGCGAAGGCGGCUUUCGAGGCGCUAACUGACGCUGAGGCGCGAAAGCGUGGGGAGCGAACCGGAUUAGAUACCCGUGUAGUCC